rnacentral:rRNA from 1 species
UACGGAGGGGGCAAGCGUUAUUCGGAAUUAUUGGGCGUAAAGGGCGCGUAGGCGGCUCGGUAAGUCAAAGGUGAAAUCCCUCGGCUCAACUGAGGAACUGCCUUUGAAACUGUCAGGCUUGAGGCCGGGAGGGGGUAGCGGAAUUCCCAGUGUAGCGGUGAAAUGCGUAGAUAUUGGGAGGAACACCGGUGGCGAAGGCGGCUUGCUGGACCAAUUCUGACGCUGAGGAGCGAAAGCGAGGGGAGCAAACAGG